UUUUCAUAUGUUGUAAGUGAAAGACCCCCGAAGUGGGGAGACCCUCACUCAAGUCUCGGGAUGAUGCGACCCCCCAAGAACUCAUGAGAGAUC
rnacentral:pre_miRNA from 14 species